rnacentral:rRNA from 1 species
UACGUAGGGUGCAAGCGUUGUCCGGAAUUAUUGGGCGUAAAGAGCUCGUAGGCGGUCUGUCACGUCGGCUGUGAAAACCCGAGGCUCAACCUCGGGCCUGCAGUCGAUACGGGCAAACUAGAGUGCGGUAGGGGAGACUGGAAUUCCUGGUGUAGCGGUGGAAUGCGCAGAUAUCAGGAGGAACACCGAUGGCGAAGGCAGGUCUCUGGGCCGCAACUGACGCUGAGGAGCGAAAGCAUGGGGAGCGAACAGG